CAGUAGCCGCGGUAACACGUAGGGUGCGAGCGUUAAUCGGAAUUACUGGGCGUAAAGCGUGCGCAGGCGGUUAUGUAAGACAGUUGUGAAAUCCCCGGGCUCAACCUGGGAACUGCAUCUGUGACUGCAUAGCUAGAGUACGGUAGAGGGGGAUGGAAUUCCGCGUGUAGCAGUGAAAUGCGUAGAUAUGCGGAGGAACACCGAUGGCGAAGGCAAUCCCCUGGACCUGUACUGACGCUCAUGCACGAAAGCGUGGGGAGCAAACAGGAUUAGAUACCCCCGUAGUCCCUGUCUCUUAUAC
rnacentral:rRNA from 1 species